UGGUUGACCGUUAUGGAAUAACCGUUUCACAAAUGAUAUCGGAUAUGUUCCUUACGUCGUAACUACAAUCCCCUUCCCUUUCAUCAAUGUGACCUACCGAAUUAGACUAUUUACCGGAUUUGUUAUCACAUAAGCAACACGACGGGUGCCACAUGUGGAGCAGGAUCUGCUUACCCUUCCGGAGCACCUGAGAUCACCCCUAGUUUUUUGGUGGGGUUCGUGUUGUUUAUUCUUUAGUUUUCUAUGUUGUGUCAUGUGUGCUGUUAUUUGUUUGUCU
rnacentral:lncRNA from 1 species